rnacentral:sRNA from 1 species
GCUGGGCACUGUGGCACAUGCCUAUAAUCCCAGCAACUAGGGAGGCUGAGCCAAGAGGAUCGCAAGUUUGAGGCCAGCCUCAGCAACUUAGUGGUCCCUAAGCAACUUAGUGAGACCUUGUCUCAA